CAGCCGUAAACAAUGUGCGUUAGGUGUGUCGGUAACCACGUGUUACUGAUGCGCCGAAGAGAAAUCGUGAAACGCACCACCUGGGAAGUACGGUCGCAAGGCUGAAACUUAAAGGAAUUGGCGGGGGAGCACAACAACGGGUGGAGCUUGCGGUUUAAUUGGAUUCAACGCCGGAAAUCUUACCGGGACCGACAGCAACAUGAAGGCCAAGCUGAAGACUUUGCCGGAUUAGCUGAGAGGUGGUGCAUGGCGUAGUCGUGU
rnacentral:rRNA from 1 species